GACGAACGCUGGCGGCGUGCCUAAUACAUGCAAGUAGGACGCAGUUGCGAACGGGUGAGUAACGCGUAGGUAACUACCUAUUAGAGGGGGAUAACUAUUGGAAACGAUAGCUAAUACCGCAUACUAGUAGAUGGACCUGCGUUGUAUUAGCUAGUAGGUAGGGUAAUGGCCUACCUAGGCAACGAUACAUAGCCGACCUUGGGGGGUGUGCGGCCCAACUUGGACUUGGAAACGGCCCGGACUCCUACGGGAGGGAGCAGUAGGGAAUCUUCGGCAAUGGGGGGAACCCUGGCCGGGCAACGCCGCGUGAGUGAAGAAGGUUUUCGGAUCGUAAAGCUCUGUUGUUAAGGAAGCGGUACUUAACCAGAAAGGGACGGCUAACUACGUGCCAGCAGCCGCGGUAAUAC
rnacentral:rRNA from 1 species